GAUGAACGCUAGCGGCAGGCUUAAUACAUGCAAGUCGAGGGGCAGCACGGGUAGCAAUAUCUGGUGGCGACCGGCGCACGGGUGCGUAACACGUAUACAAUCUACCCUUAACAGGGGGAUAGCCCUCCGAAAGGAGGAUUAAUACCCCAUAAUAAAUUGAAUGGCAUCAUUUGAUUUUGAAAGUUCCGACGGUUAAGGAUGAGUAUGCGUCUGAUUAGCUAGUUGGUGAGGUAAAGGCUCACCAAGGCAACGAUCAGUAGGGGAUCUGAGAGGACUACCCCCCACACUGGUACUGAGACACGGACCAGACUCCUACGGGAGGCAGCAGUAAGGAAUAUUGGUCAAUGGAGGCAACUCUGAACCAGCCAUGCCGCGUGCAGGAAGACGGCCCUAUGGGUUGUAAACUGCUUUUGUACGGGAGAAAACCCUUUCACGUGUGAGAGGUUGAUAGUACCGUAAGAAUAAGCAUCGGCUAACUUC
rnacentral:rRNA from 1 species